rnacentral:rRNA from 1 species
UCGAGAAUUUUUCUCAAUGGGGGAAACCCUGAAGGAGCGACGCCGCGUGGAGGAUGAAGGUCUUCGGGUUGUAAACUCCUGUCAUUUGGGAACAAGGCGCAGGUAUUAACUGUACCUGCGUUGAUAGUACCAGAAGAGGAAGAGACGGCUAACUCUGUG